GUGCUCGCUUCGGCAGCACAUAUACUAAAACUGGAACAAUACAGAGAUUAGCAUGGUCCCCGCACAAGGAUGACACGCAAAUUCGUGAAGCAUUCCGUAUUUUU
rnacentral:snRNA from 1 species